UACGUAGGUGGCGAGCGUUGUCCGGAUUUACUGGGCGUAAAGAGCUCGUAGGCGGUUUGUUGCGUCGGCUGUGAAAUCCCGAGGCUCAACCUCGGGUCUGCAGUCGAUACGAGCAAACUAGAGUGUUGCAGGGGAGACUGGAAUUCCUGGUGUAGCGGUGAAAUGCGCAGAUAUCAGGAGGAACACCGGUGGCGAAGGCGGGUCUCUGGGCAACAACUGACGCUGAGGAGCGAAAGCGUGGGGAGCGAACAGG
rnacentral:rRNA from 1 species